rnacentral:rRNA from 1 species
UACGUAGGGGGCGAGCGUUAUCCGGAUUUACUGGGCGUAAAGCGUGCGUAGGUGGUUAAUUAAGUUAUCUGUGAAAUCCCUGGGCUUAACCUGGGCAGGUCAGAUGAUACUGAUUGACUCGAGUAUGGGAGAGGGUAGUGGAAUUUCCGGUGUAGCGGUGAAAUGCGUAGAGAUCGGAAGGAACACCAGUGGCGAAGGCGGCUACCUGGCCUAAUACUGACACUGAGGCACGAAAGCGUGGGGAGCAAACAGG